GAAUUAUUUCUUCUUAAAUCUUUAAAACUACCCUGUAUUUCAUUGCCGUGAGUGGGAUUUGUGAUUUGUGAUUUGUUUUACGGCUAAAUCUUCGAUUUAAUCUCCGAUUCGAAAUGUCUCGGUGCUUUCCGUACCCACCACCGGGCUAUGCUUUGAGCAGCGCCAGAAAAGAUGCCUUGAUCGAUUCGAUUAAGCUCCAAAAGCCAAAGGUCCAAGCUGAGGAACAGAGGAAGGAGAAGAAAAGGGAUAAAAAGAGAGAAAGAAAGACAAGAGUAGUCUGAAGAAUCUUGGCAACACUGAUAUUGUCUGUAGUCAUUUUGGUGAAAAAUUCUGGAGUGAUGGCCA